UACGGGGGGAGCAAGCGUUGUUCGGAUUCAUUGGGCGUAAAGGGUGCGUAGGUGGUUAGGUAAGUCGGAUGUGAAAUCCCGGGGCUCAACCUCGGAACUGCAUUCGAUACUGCUUGACUAGAGUACUGGAGAGGAGAUUGGAAUUUACGGUGUAGCAGUGAAAUGCGUAGAUAUCGUAAGGAAGACCAGCGGCGAAGGCGGAUCUCUGGACAGUUACUGACACUGAGGCACGAAGGCCAGGGGAGCAAACGGG
rnacentral:rRNA from 1 species